GUCGCGCUCCGUUCGUUUCGUCGUCGUAGGCCAAACAACGUUUUAAAUUUGUGUUAUGCAAUCUAUAAUCUACCAAGGAGUUUCCAUAUUAUGCUGUUAGCGUACGAGAGGUGAAUUUCUGCUUCAUAACGCGGAAGUUUUGGUUCAAUGGUCAGGGUCGUCCACUUUGACGGUACCGGCGAUAUGUGUCACCUAACCUACCUACUGACCUGCCUGUGUACUGUAAAGUACACGUAGCUACUGCAACCUUGCAACUAUCCCCGUCUGCGAUGAUUUCCUAUGUACAAGUGCGUAUCAUGGUGCGGCUGCUGCAGCAGGUCUGUUAUUGGAUUCCUGUUUGAAUGUGGGACUAGCCGAUACUGAUAAGUAGAUGGUAAACAACUCAGCUAUUUGAUGCUCAUUACUUUCCUACACGCGCUGAUUUUGAAGUAUGGGAUUUCAAGUUGCUUCAUUGGAUACUUCACAUUCUUCAGUGCCUCUGCAAGAAUAAAGCAAUUCUACAAUGGAUACUUGUGAAGAAAAUUUAUUCUUAUCUGUGCUUAUCUUUUGUAUUGCUUACUCUAUUGUUCAUUAAAAGUUGAAUGUCAUUCACCGCAC